UACGUAGGGGGCGAGCGUUGUCCGGAUUUAUUGGGCGUAAAGAGCUCGUAGGCGGUUUGGUAAGUCGGGUGUGAAAUCUCCACGCUCAACGUGGAGGGGCCACUCGAUACUGCCAUGACUCGAGUCCGGUAGAGGAGUGUGGAAUUCCCGGUGUAGCGGUGAAAUGCGCAGAUAUCGGGAGGAACACCCGUAGCGAACGCGGCUCGCUGGGCCACACCUGACGCUGAGACGCGAAAGCUAGGGGAGCGAACAGG
rnacentral:rRNA from 1 species